CCGAAAAAUACAAUCCCCAAGCGGUUAAAUGCUUUCCUUUGACACUUUUCUUGGGAAUGUGGUUUCUUUAGUCUUCCUUGGGAGUAGAUUUGAUUUAAGACGUUCGCUGCUUUCCUGAAGCUCUAACUUGAGUUCAUUUUGUUAUGUGGUGACCACAGUUCUGGAUGACGCCCCCCCUGGCACACAGGAAUACAUUAUGUUACGGCAAGAUUCCAUCCAAUCUGCGGAAUUAAAGAAAAAAGAGUCCCCCUUUCGUGCUAAGUGUCACGAAAUCUUCUGCUGCCCGCUGAAGCAAGUGCAUCACAAAGAAAACACAGAGCCCGAAGAGCCUCAGCUUAAGGGUAUAGUUACCAAACUCUACAGCCGACAAGGUUUCCACUUGCAGCUGCAGGCAGACGGAACCAUUGAUGGCACAAAGGAUGAGGACAGCACUUACACUCUGUUUAACCUCAUCCCCGUGGGCCUUCGAGUGGUGGCUAUUCAGGGAGUUCAAAGCAAGCUGUACUUGGCAAUGAACAGCGAGGGAUACCUGUACACCUCGGAACAUUUCACACCUGAGUGCAAAUUCAAAGAAUCGGUCUUUGAAAAUUAUUACGUGACAUAUUCAUCUAUGAUAUACCGUCAGCAGCAGUCUGGCCGAGGGUGGUAUCUGGGUCUGAACAAAGAAGGAGAGAUCAUGAAAGGAAACCAUGUGAAGAAGAACAAGCCUGCAGCCCACUUUCUGCCCAAACCACUGAAAGUGGCCAUGUACAAGGAGCCUUCGCUUCAUGAUCUCACCGAGUUCUCCCGAUCUGGAAGCGGGACCCCAACCAAGAGCAGAAGCGUCUCCGGCGUGCUGAACGGAGGCAAAUCCAUGAGCCACAACGAAUCAACGUAGCCAGUGAGGGCAAAGCAAGGGCUCUGUAACAGAACCUAACCUCCAGGUGCUGUUGAAUGCUAGCAGUCCUUCACUCAAAAGUUCAAAUUGGUCAAUGACGUUUACCAAACAAACAGGCAGAGUCCACCCUUCUAAUCUGCCGUUAAACCUUCUUCUCCUGCAUAUACUAAAGCCCCACAAUUGACAUGGAGCUUGUGCCAAAAAACAGUGCCAAGCGUUAUCAGUGAACUAAAUCUGGGAGAAGGACUGCCCAAUUUUCUCACGAUCUCACCUAUGCUUUGGGGAAGACGAACCCAAAACCUUUCACAGCAGUAAUGCUGAUACAAAUUCGCGCUCCCACCAAGAAAAUGUAAAAGACCACCAUUGUUCUUCAAAACCAGACAAACAAACAAACAGAAAAAAAAAUUAACUGCUUAAAUGUUUUGUAGGGGCAAACAAAAUGAUGUGACCUGUGUUGGUUUCUUGGCUUCAUGUUUUCCAUCUAUGCUUGAUUCAUACGUAUUCUUUCCUUUGAUAGAGCGCAACUAUAUGAUUUCUGAAAUUCAAUGGUUCUAUUGACUCUGUGUCACUUAAUCCAACUCAACCAAAUUCAGGGUUGAAGCUGAAUUGGCAUCUCAGGCUCAAGGUAACAGUGUUCUUGUGAUUUUACCAAUUUUUUUUCUUUUAGAUUCGUAGGAUUCUGGUCAAGUUCUUGUGCUGUACUUUGUGCGUAGAAAUGGUGUCGUGUUGUCACCCCCUAGUCAGUAAAGAUGACUUAAAAAAAAAGAUUAUCCUCAAGUGUAGCUUUCUCUUAAUUCCAUUUGUGUUAUCAUGUUAAACUAUUGUUGUGGCUUCUUGUGUAAAGACAGGAACUGUGGAACUGUGAUGUUGUCUUUUGUGUUGUUAAAAUAUGAAAUGUCUCAUCUGUAUAUGUAUGAGUUGUCCUGUCAUUGUGUUUGGCACGUGAAUAUUGUGUACAAGGAAAUGUUAGGACUGGUUACCCCUAAACAACAUAUGCUUAUACCUGCUUCUGGAAAAGUGUUUAAGACUUAGCUAGGUUUCCAUUUAGAUCUUCAUAUCUGUUGCAUGGAAGAAAGUUGGAAUCUUGGCAUAGAGUUGCAUGAUAUGUAAGAUUUUGUGCAUUAAUAAUUGUUAAAAUCUGUGUUCCACAAGUGGACAUAGCAUGUACAGGCAGUUUUCUGUCCUGUGCACAAAAAAGUUAAAAAAAAAAGUUGUUUAAUAUUUGUUGUUGUAUACCCAGAUACGCACCGAAUAAACUCUUUAUAUUCAUUCAAA
rnacentral:lncRNA from 1 species